AUUGAACGCUGGCGGCAGGCCUAACACAUGCAAGUCGAACGAGUGGCGGACGGGUGAGUAAUGUCUGGGAAACUGCCUGAUGGAGGGAGAUAACUACUGGAAACGGUAGCUAAUACCGCAUACCAUCAGAUGUGCCCAGAUGGGAUGAGCUUGUUGGUGGGGUAACGGCGCACCAAGGCGACGAUCCCUAGCUGGUCUGAGAGGAUGACCAGCCACACGGGAACUGAGACACGGUCCAGACUCCGACGGGGGGCAGCAGUGGGGAAUAUUGGACAAUGGGGGCAAGCCUGAUGCGGCCAUGCGGCGUGGAUGAAGAAGGCCUGCGGGUUGUAAAGUACUUUCAGCGGGGAGGCGUUACCCGCAGAAGAAGCACCGGCUAACUCCGUGCCAGCAGCCGCGGUAAUUC
rnacentral:rRNA from 1 species